rnacentral:lncRNA from 1 species
CAAAAGGCAACAGCUCCAAAAAUCUGUCGGUGUACUCCUCCACACUCAUUUCAUCCGUCUGCCCAACUGUUCGAACUCUAUCAUCUUCAGUUCUCUUGAACUAUCGGGAAAAGCCCAUCCUGCAAACUCGUUUGCAAACUCUUCCCAAGUCAUGCUGUCCACUCUCGGGUUCACAUAAUUCUUGAACCACCCCCGUGCCUUCUUGCACUUAAGCGUGAACCCGGCCAUCUGAAUGGCUCUACUGUCAUCAGCC